CCGAGCUUACAACUCCCAAACCCCUGUGAACAUACCUAUAAUUUGCCUCGGCGGACUCAACGACGGUGCUCCGAGAGAUCGGGCGCCGCUCGCUGCCAGAGGAACCCCAAACUCUAUGUAUUUCUGUGGAUCUUCUGAGUAAAACAAAACAAAUAAAUCA
rnacentral:misc_RNA from 1 species